rnacentral:rRNA from 1 species
AUUGAACGCUGGCGGCAUGCCUUACACAUGCAAGUCGAACGGUAACAGGUUAAGCUGACGAGUGGCGAACGGGUGAGUAAUAUAUCGGAACGUGCCCAGUCGUGGGGGAUAACUGCUCGAAAGAGCAGCUAAUACCGCAUACGACCUGAGGGUGAAAGCGGGGGAUCGCAAGACCUCGCGCGAUUGGAGCGGCCGAUAUCAGAUUAGGUAGUUGGUGGGGUAAAGGCCCACCAAGCCAACGAUCUGUAGCUGGUCUGAGAGGACGACCAGCCACACUGGGACUGAGACACGGCCCAGACUCCUACGGGAGGCAGCAGUGGGGAAUUUUGGACAAUGGGCGCAAGCCUGAUCCAGCCAUGCCGCGUGCGGGAAGAAGGCCUUCGGGUUGUAAACCGCUUUUGUCAGGGAAGAAAAGGUUCUGGUUAAUACCUGGGACUCAGGACGUACCUGAAGAUAGCC